rfam:Populus trichocarpa scaffold_3_contig_260, whole genome shotgun sequence.
GGACUGUGAUGAUUUCAGUGUGAAAGGUCUCGUUCGUCGUAAUUGGCUUUUACAGGCCUUGACGACCAUCCACCCAUAUUCUGAGUCU